rnacentral:lncRNA from 1 species
AGCACAAUGAGUGCUUGGUGUGGACGUGGGAGCAGAUUAUGCGGAGCUUUUGUGAAGAGAAAAAUAUCACAUCGGAAAUCAUGUCAAAGUGUUAGAUGUUACUGGAGCUUGAAGUGAACAAGCAAGAAGCCUAAUUGUCAGAGAAGGGUGUAUAUUCCAGACUUUGCCACUACAAAUGACAAUGCAUGUAUCUGCUACGUUUUUUAAUUCCGUGCAUUGACUCGUUUUCCUGGAGAAAGAAAGCAAAUGGAAAAUAUUACCCUGUAUCCUGGGCAGACUAGAGAACUUGGGUCUCACUGUGCUCACCAAGAAUUAAACGGGCCAGAUGGAGAACUGGAGUAAGUGCCUUCCAGAGGAGAGUUUCAGCUGGACCAAGAAUUAUGAGCCAAUGAAGUGGGAAGCCAUAUUUGAGGGCGCCCCCUUAGACUUCAGAGUGCACUACAUUAAUUGCUCCUAUAGACUUUCUCUCCAUCUGAAAUACUGCCAAAGAGAGAGUUUCCAUUUUCAAGAAGCUUUUCUCUGGAAUGAGGAGCUCACCACUAAGUUAAAAGUACCAGUAAGUAUCAGACAAUCAGAUUCAUGUUUUUAAACCAGGAAAGUAUCAGCUCAAUGAGCACCUCCAGGGGGAAAAGGGCACCAAAGUCCCAUAGGAGGCUUCUGGGCAUGGCCAGAGAGCAUGGGCUCCAGAUGCUGAUGGCUGCACCACUCGCUGCCUGAGUGGCCUUGACAAAGACGAUGAAUUUGCUGAAAAUGCUACUUCCCUAUCAACAAAAUGGAAAUAAUCUUGUAAGGUGAUUCAGAGAUACACACAGAUGGCAGGCAUGCAAAAAACCUUCUCUUGACCACCUCUCCUGCAAGCAAUCUCCAGUUGCCUCUGCCAUCACCUCAUCAUGAGAGUCCCAGAUCCCCCCACUCUCCUGGCAGUUUUGUCCAGGGACAGUUCUGUCCACAGAAAUGACCAAAUGAUUAUAUCAUGGAAUCUCAAAGAAAAUAUGAGAAGUUAUUUAGUCCAUGUAGAAAGAAGGUGAAGAAAAAUAUUCAAUGUAAUUUAAAUUGUUUUGUAAUUGGCCAGGUGUGGUGGUUCAUGCCUGUAACCCCAGCACGUUGAGAGCCCAAGGUGGGCAGAUCACCUGAGGUUAGGAGUUCAAGACCAUCCUGGCCAACAUGGUGAAACCCGGUCUUUACUAAAAGUACAAAAAUUAGCCGGGCAUGGUGGCAUGCACCUGUAAUCCCAGCUACUUGGGAGGCUGAGGCAGGAGAAUCACUUGAACCCAGGAUGCGGAGGCUGCAGUGAGCCAAGAUUGUCCCAUUGCACUCCAGCAUGGGCAACAGAGUGAGACUCCAUCUCAAAAAAUAAAUAAGUAAAUACAUAAAUAAAUAAUUUUGUAAUCAGUAAUGGUAACAUACCCCUCUUGAUUGAGGUAUACUAAUAAUCAUUCCUAUUUAAACAAAAAACAAAAAAAAAUCCUUAUAAAGCAUUUAAAAGUGGCAAAGCACUUUUAUAUUUAUUUUCUAAUUUAAUCUUUAGAAUGAUCUGGUAUUAUUAGCAGAGUAAAAAGUUCUACCAAUUUUAAAGAGGAGGAAACUGAAGCACUAAGGAUUUGUCUGGCUUGACCCAAUCACAUAGAGUUGCUGGAAAAACAGCUCAGGCAAACUCAAAUAGUAUUUUUUUCAUAGCAUGUCACACUUCCUGAAUAAAUUUCUCUAAAAGAG